rnacentral:rRNA from 1 species
UGGGGAAUAUUGCACAAUGGGCGAAAGCCUGAUGCAGCAACGCCGCGUGAGUGAUGAAGGUUUUCGGAUCGUAAAGCUCUGUCUUCUGGGACGAUAAUGACGGUACCAGAGGAGGAAGCCACGGCUAACUACGUGCCAGCAGCCGCGGUAAUACGUAGGUCCCGAGCGUUGUCCGGAUUUAUUGGGCGUAAAGCGAGCGCAGGUGGUUUAUUAAGUCUGGUGUAAAAGGCAGUGGCUCAACCAUUGUAUGCAUUGGAAACUGGUAGACUUGAGUGCAGGAGAGGACAGUGGAACUCCAUGUGUAGCGGUGAAAUGCGUAGAUAUAUGGAAGAACACCAGUGGCGAAGGCGGCUGUCUGGUCUGUAACUGACGCUGAGGCUCGAAAGCAUGGGUAGCGAACAGGAUUAGAUACCCUGGUAGUCCAUGCCGUAAACGAUGAAUGCUAGGUGUUGGAGGGUUUCCGCCCUUCAGUGCCGCAGCUAACGCAUUAAGCAUUCCGCCUGGGGAGUACGACCGCAAGGUUG